UACCAGCACCCCGAGUGGUCGGGACGGUUAUUGGGCCUAAAGCAUCCGUAGCCGGUUCUACAAGUCUUCCGUUAAAUCCACCUGCUUAACAGAUGGGCUGCGGAAGAUACUAUAGAGCUAGGAGGCGGGAGAGGCAAGCGGUACUCGAUGGGUAGGGGUAAAAUCCGUUGAUCCAUUGAAGACCACCAGUGGCGAAGGCGGCUUGCCAGAACGCGCUCGACGGUGAGGGAUGAAAGCUGGGGGAGCAAACCGG
rnacentral:rRNA from 1 species